ACCCUGGUAUUUUUCGGGGCCUUGUCGAUUUUGUGGCACAGUUGGAUGAGGUGUUUGAUGAGCACCUGAAAACGGCAAGUGUCUUCAAGGGCACAUCCAAGACGAUUCAAAACGAACUGCUGGGGUGUAUGCUGGGUGUGGUGAAGGAACGGAUUGUCGAGGAGGUGAAGGCUGCGAAGUUUGUAGCCAUCCAGGCUGACGAGACCACCGAUGUCAGCACGCAGACUCAGCUGGUUCUUGUUCUCCGAUACAUCGACGGCAAGUAUGCAGUGCAUGAAAGUUUUUUUGAGUUUCUUCCCCUCACCGAGUCAACGACUGAACAGUCUGUUUUCUGACGACGAGAGAGAGAAACUAAUCGCUCAAGCGUAUGAUGGUGCCAGUGUGAUGAGGGGAGAGAAGGCUGGUGUGCAGUAAAAGGUGCGUGAACACUUCAAAAAUGCACAUUAUGUGCAUUGUUACGCACACCAACUGAACCUGAUCAUGCAGCAAGCUACAUCCAACAUAAGCAAAGUGAAGGUUUUUUUCUCUGAGCUGAGUGGGAUUUCGAGUUUUUUUUCCCGUUCACCCAAGAGGACCAGCAUUCUCGAUCAGGUCAUCGCCCGGAGACUGCCGAGGGCUUCAGCUACAAGAUGGAAUUUCAACAGCAGGAUCGUCAACACUGUCAGUGAGAAUCGAGCCGACCUCAUUGAAUGUUUCGAAACCAUCAAGACAUCAUUUGACCAACCAACAGUGAGAGAGGCAUCUGGGUCCAUCCGAAUGCUGCAAGAUGAAGACUGUACCAGCAACUCCAGCAGAAGGACAUCGAUGCAGUACUCAUCCAGCGGUCCCUCCAGAGGUUCACAAGCAGUGUGCAGGCCAUAAGGGGCUCCCCCUCACUUCAGCAGGUCCAGGGAGAACCAGCUGCCAAACGAUCAAGGACAGCGUUGGGAGAGGAAGAAAAGCAGAGGAUGGCUAAAGAGAUCUGUGACACCAUCUUGGCUCACUGCAAGGAGCGGUUUUCCUUCACCGACCACCUAGUUAGUGCCACCUUACUGCAAGGAGAUCUGUUUGGAAGGUACUGCCAUUCAUUUCCAACCGAAGCGCUGCAUGCCACUGUGAAGGCAUACCCCAUGCUGGAUCAAGCAAAGCUGCACACAGAGCUCUCCCUCAUCUACGAAAUGAGGGAGACCUUGUUCAGCAAAUUGCUGAACAAGGUAGACCUUGUUCAGCAAAUUGCUUAUCACAUGUACCUCAUUUAGUUUCCCUUCAAAUGCCUCCUCAGUUUAUUUGCCAGUGCUCAGUCUUGGGAUUGUCACCUGCUGAUCACUUGACUUGUAAAUUUAUGUUUCUCUUGUACUCUGUUGUCUUUUUCGACUGUGAAUGUUUACACCUUGCUAAGACUGUGACCUUUUUUUAUUUUUGAGAAGAAGCUUACUUGUGGAUGUUGGAUAUUAUUUGAUAUUUUUCCAUUGGAUCUUCUGUGUUGGAUUUUUGUAUUGUGACUUUUUACUGCUACCUACUGAGCAUUUUGAACUGUGGCCAAAUAUUUUGGACAUCCUUCUUUUUGUAUCUUGCUGGUCUACCAUCGUGCCUUUGUUCAAGCACCUUUUUGACUCAGUAAAACAUUUGAACUUGA
ensembl:lncRNA